rnacentral:misc_RNA from 1 species
GCGUGCUUUGAUGGAAGUAAGCAAAGUGGCAGGCUGGGAUUCACGGAAUUUCAAGUAAGUUAAUUACUUUUUAAUUACUCUUUACCAUAGUUUUUCUAAGUCUCAAUUUUAAAAAAGUUCAUCAAAAUAUAGACACUUUUAAUUAGAGUUGUGCACGGCUCUCAAUAUUCCAAACUGAACCAAAAAAUUAUACUAGACUGAUAAGAACCAUAUUGACUAAACUUAUUUCAAUAUUUUGGUUAACUUAUUUCAAUAUUUUGGUUCAAUUUUGAUUUUUCAUUAAAAAUCAUACCGAAUUCGUACUAAACUGAGAG